AGUGAACGCUGGCGGUAGGCCUAACACAUGCAAGUCGAACGGCAGCCCAGUAAGAGCUUGCUCUUACGGGUGGCGAGUGGCGGACGGGUGAUGAAUACAUCGGAAUCUACUUUUUCGUGGGGGAUAACUAAGGGAAACUUACGCUAAUACCGCAUACGACCUACGGGUGAAAUCAGGGGAUCUUCUGACCUUGCGCGAUUGAAUGAGCCGAUGUCGGCUUAGCUAGUUGGCGGGGUAAAGGCCCACCAAGGCGACGAUCCGUAGCUGGUCUGAGAGGAUGAACAGCCACCCUGGAACUGAGACACGGUCCAGACUCCUACGGGAGGCAGCAGUGGGGAAUAUUGGGCAAGGGGCGCAAGACUGAUCCAGCGAUACCGCGUGAGUGAAGAAGGCCUUCGGGUUGGAAAGCCAUUUUGUUGGGAAAGAAAAGCAGCAGGUUAAUACCGCGCGGAUCUGACGGUACCCAAAGAAUAAGCACCGGCUAACUUCGUG
rnacentral:rRNA from 1 species